UACAUGGGGUGCAAACGUUGCUCGGAAUUAUUGGGCGUAAAGCGCACGUAGGCGGUUUGUUAAGUCGGAUGUGAAAUCCCCUCGGCUCAACUGAGGAAGUGCAUCCGAAACUGGCAGGCUUGAGUACUAAAGAGGGUCGCGGAAUUCCCGGUGUAGAGGUGAAAUUCGUAGAUAUCGGGAGGAACACCGGUGGCGAAGGCGGCGACCUGGGUAGAUACGUGACGCUGAGGUGCGAAAGCGUGGGGAGCAAACAGG
rnacentral:rRNA from 1 species